ACCUGGGUGGCUUAGUUGGUUAAGCAUCAGACUCUUGAUUUGGCUUAGGUCAUGAUCUCACAGUUCAUGGGAUCAAGCCCCAUGUCUGGUU
rnacentral:tRNA from 1 species